GGGAGGGAGCGACGAAAAGAGAUAAGGUGGGCUUCAGUCACGUGGCAGGAGCGCAGCCGUUGCGUUGCUGGUCACGUGGCAUCGAAACGUUUCGAGGCCUUGAUCAUGUGACAGUGGCCAAUGUAGAGGCCUCCUUGGCCACGUGACAAGGAAUUUGGCGCUGCCCUUUGCUGUAUUGGUAGGUCUGAGUCAUGUGAUGUGGUCGCCGCUCUUUUUUUCCAAUGGCGAUUUUAAGCGGCAUUACCACGUGAUCCAGGUCGAGGGGCGGAGUCUCCCCUGCUGUGAGUCUAUGCGCCUGCGCGGUUGCCAUCUUACGCCCGUCGCUCAUGUGUACGUUGGCGGAAACGGCUCGGAGAGCGAGGCACGUGAGUGUCCUCAUAGUGGCCGGAUUUCGGUCGGGGAGGUUAGUCCUCCGUCCGAGGUUACCUGGCGGAGCUUCCUCCUCUCUCUCUGCAUCUCUCGCUAGAGGCCAAGAAGACCCGAGAUUCGGGUGUCAGCAACGGCCGGACAGAUCUUCUUGUUGCUGCCCCGGGACCGGCGCCGGUGAGCGCUCCAGUUCUUUGGUCCUGCAAACCCCCAGUGUAGCGUCUGGCCGCCCUGCCGGGCCCGGCCUCCAGAGGACAGAGCCCAGCUGCUAGGGGUCUUCUAGUGUCCCUUUCACAGGUGGAGAAACAGGCCCAGCUGGAGGAUUCACAUCCAUGUGUGAGAGCCGGGUCUGCGGUCACAAGCUCGGCCAACCACAGCUCGGGGUUGUUAAGUAAAGGCGCCGGGGACCGAGCGCUUUCUCUUUUCAAGCCGGUUGUUGUUGCAUCCUCCCGGAGUUUCGUGAGAUCCCCGAUGUACAUACAGUCUGCCUACAGGAAGCCCCGCUCCCCUCCAGUGUCAGAAUCAAGCUGGCGCUUGACAGACCUCGUUAUUAGGAACGUUGUCAUGUGCGAGGUUGUUGUUCAGAAACUGCCGGGACUCGGAACAAGGAAUUAUUGAAAAGGUUUCCUUCUUGAAAAUUUUAUUUAUUUAUUUGAGACAGAAUGAGAGAGAGAGAGAGAGCAUAUGAGAGGGCAGAGGGUCAGAGGGAGAAGCAGACCCCCCGCCGAGCAGGGAGCCCGAUGCGGGACUCGAUCCCGGGACUCCAGGAUCAUGACCUGAGCCGAAGGCAGUUGCUUUAACCAACUGAGCCACCCAGGCGCCCUCCGCUGACGUCCUUCUUACCGUGCUAGAAAAUAGUCGCUCCAUUCGUUUGCUCCCACACUAAAGCCAGGAGCAAUUGUGCCCACGCUUUCUGCCUUCCACACAGCUCCAGAUGCUGCCGUUCUCUGGCUCUCCCCUGAGUCCACUUUUUUUCCUUCUCCCCGGGGUUCAGACCUCCCCUCUCUGGACACUUAACUCCCCAGGUGAUCUCAGCCAUCCCCACGAUCUCAAAGACCAUCAAAACACACUCCCGAUCACAUGCCUCCAGCCUAGAAUUCUCCUGUGAAGUCCCGACACAUCCAACCAUCUAUGUGACCGCUUCCCUUGGAGAUUUUGUAUGAAGCAAGUCAAAAUACACCGACCUGCCUGGAUCCCUUCGGCCCGGCUUUAUCAUCUCUGCCUGGGCUUUACGGGCUUUUGCACAACUGCCUGCCCACCAACUCUCUUCAGAGAACUACCCUGGGCUUGGGACCACGUUGCCAACACUCUCAAGAGGAUCAGACUGGGUCAUACUGGACACUUUGCCUCCACGCCCAGGAGAAUCAGAUGUGCCUGGGAUCGUCAGCUCCUGGGCCACCGUUAGUCCGUGACCUACCAGUUCAGGACAGCUCUGAGAUGUCACUUAUCCGCCCAAGCUCCCUGCGGGCUCAAGCAACAGGUGCCCUCCACGGGACUCUGCCUGAGCUUGCUCCCCUCAGCCCCGCUUCCUCCUGCUGCUUUGAGUCCUCUCUCUUGCACAUGCAAUCAAUCAAGUCGAGCUCCGUCUUCAAAUGACAUGCAAAAUCUGCAUGCUUUUCAUCAUCUUCACCAAGACCACCUGAGUCCAGUCCACCAGCAGCACGUGCCCAGAUUAGUGCAGUAACCUUUUUUUAAUUUAAUUUUUUUUUAAAGAUUCCAUUUAUUCAUUUGAGAGAGUGAACGUGCAUAAGCAGGGGGGAGGGGCAGAGGGAGAAGCAAACUCCCCACUGAGCAGGGAGGCGACAUGGGGCUCAAUCCCAGGACCCCCCCCCCGAGAUCAUGACCUUAGCCAAAGGUAGACGCCCAACUGACUGAGCCACCCAGGUGCCCCAAAAAUCUUUUUUAAAGUAGGCUCCACAUCCAACCCAGGGGCUCAAACUCACGACCCUGAAACCCAGAGUCACAGGCUGUACUGACUCAGCCAGGCGCCCCUCCAGUAACCUCAUUGGUCUUCCUGCUCCCACUUUUGUAUGGUACCAUCUCCACACACAGCAGCCGGAGAGUUUUGAGCAUGCAUAAAAGACUGGAAACUUAGAUGCUGGCGUAUGCUAACACACUAGUAACAGUGGACACGCUGUGCACCAGGCCAGGCACUGUGCCAAGCCCUUUGCAGUCAUUCAGCUGUUCUGUGCCUUUGUGUACCACGCACUCUGCCCUGCUCUGGGAUAAGGUGGGGGGAAAAAAGAGGCCAGAUCUCUUUCCCCUUUGAGCGAACAUGCUGGGUGGGGAGGCUAACCAUUAUGAAGUGAAAAGACAAAUACUUGCAGAUUGUGACAAAUGCCAUGAGAAAAAUAAAGAGGGUGAUGUGUGGUCACCAAGAGAGGCCUUUGAUGAGCCCAGAAGACUUCCUGGAGGAGGUGAUUCCUGAGCUGAAAGCCAAAGGAUGAGGAGCUAGCCACACAAAGAGCCAGGUGAGGAGCAUUUCAGGCACAAGCCCUGGGGCCAGGGUGGCUGGAUGAGUCAGCAAGGGGGAGCCCCUGAGGCAGAUGGGGGCAGGGCCUCAUGAGCCGCAGUGAAGACUUUGGCUGCUAUGCUGAAUAAGGUGCGAGCCAUGGAGGGUUCUUGAGCAGAGAAGGGGUGUGAACUUACUAGAGUGUUUACAAGCACCCUUUUGCACCUGUGUGA